GACGAACCGUCCAAACGUUUAUUCGGAAUCACUGGGCUUACAGAGUUCGUAGGCGGUCUGGAAAGUUGGGUGUGAAAUCCCUCGGCUCAACCGAGGAACUGCGCUUGAAACUACCAGACUCGAGGGAGAUAGAGGAAAGCGGAACUGAUGGUGGAGCGGUGAAAUGCGUUGAUAUCAUCAGGAACACCGGGUGGCGAAGGCGCUUUCUGGGUCU
rnacentral:rRNA from 1 species